rnacentral:tRNA from 1 species
CUCCUUGUAGCUCAAUGGAUAGAGCACCCCUCUAACUAAGGGCAGGUUACGGGUUCGAAUCCCGUCAAGGGUU